rnacentral:lncRNA from 1 species
CAAGGGCAGAACUGCCGCAGAGACAUCUGCAGAAAGUGCCGAGCUGCAAAAGGCCCCCAGAGCUCCAAGGAAGGCUUGGAAAAAAAUCCACCAUGACAAAGUGAGAUAUUCAGUAUGUCUGCUGCAGCUUGUGGUAGUGGGUAUAUGGUAUUUUCCAACAAAUUCUUGUCACACUUUGAAGGAAUCAAUCCACAAACCUCUAUGGCAUGGAGAAGCUGGCAGCCCUUGUUUUGAGGUCGUGGGGCAAGAGACACGAAGAAGCAGGUCCCUGAGCAGUACCAGUCCCAGCUGCACAUAUUUAGGCUUCUGGGCUAAGCUCUGGGUCCUGAGUGGUGGGGGUGGAUUAGGGCUUGCGUUUUUUACAUAGAUUUUUUUUUUUGUACUCUUGUGAUAUGUGGGAUACUAAAGUGCACGUCCCAGGGCUGGGCCUAGAUCUUGCCUAGAUCUGAGGUUGGUACUGGGUGCAUGAAAAAC